GAGGAGGAGGCGGCGGCGCCGCCGAGUUACUUAGUUGUUGUCGGGCGGUGUCAGUUGGUCCCGGGCGGAUCGGGAUUGAUUCCCUCGGUCGGAGAGGACGUGGUGGUGAUGGUGGAGGGGACCGGGACGGCGCCGGCUCCCCGCAGAUGACUGCCCCGACGGCACCUUCUUUUCUGUGAGGAUCUGUGUAACAAGCCAUCAUCAAGGUGAGGUAACUGAGGCAC